AUUGAACGCUGGCGGCAUGCCUUACACAUGCAAGUCGAACGGCAGCGGACCUUCGGGUGCCGGCGAGUGGCGAACGGGUGAGUAAUAUAUCGGAACGUACCUUUCAGUGGGGGAUAACGUAGCGAAAGUUACGCUAAUACCGCAUAUUCUGUGAGCAGGAAAGCAGGGGAUCGCAAGACCUUGCGCUGAUUGAGCGGCCGAUAUUAGAUUAGCUAGUUGGUGAGGUAAAGGCUCACCAAGGCGACGAUCUGUAGCGGGUCUGAGAGGAUGAUCCGCCACACUGGAACUGAGACACGGUCCAGACUCCUACGGGAGGCAGCAGUGGGGAAUUUUGGACAAUGGGCGCAAGCCUGAUCCAGCCAUGCCGCGUGAGUGAAGAAGGCCU
rnacentral:rRNA from 1 species